rnacentral:rRNA from 1 species
UACGAAGGGGGCUAGCGUUGCUCGGAAUCACUGGGCGUAAAGCGCACGUAGGCGGACUCUUAAGUCAGGGGUGAAAUCCUGGAGCUCAACUCCAGAACUGCCUUUGAUACUGGGAGUCUUGAGUUCGGGAGAGGUGAGUGGAACUGCGAGUGUAGAGGUGAAAUUCGUAGAUAUUCGCAAGAACACCAGUGGCGAAGGCGGCUCACUGGCCCGAUACUGACGCUGAGGUGCGAAAGCGUGGGGAGCAACAGG